rnacentral:tRNA from 1 species
GCGAGGAUGGUCUAAUCGGUUAAGGCGUCGCCCCGGUCAGGCGAAAGGUUGCGGGUUCAAUCCCGCUCCUGGCC